rnacentral:sRNA from 1 species
GUAUAGGGUCUCGGCUUUCUGACAGGAAGUCUAGGGUUCGAAUCCUCGUUGGUCUCUCUUGGUUUUUCCUUCAAGUCCAGCAGCUGGAAUAGCAGCAACUACUUACUACAUGGAUGGAAGAGACUCUUUCUACAACUCGAUUAAGGUCAUUAAAGCGGCGUUGACAAAAAAUAACCCGCAAUUACAGAAGAAGUGUUGGAGUACGGUGAAGAAAAGAAAGGAGUAUUAAAGUUUUAGUAGUAGUGUCCAUACGUAAGACCAUAAAUUACGUACGAAAAUGACGACGAAUUUUAAAGAUCGAAGAACGGAAAGGUGUGAGAACACCAAAAAUAUUGUCUCGUGGUAAAACCACUGCCCUUUGUGGAAAAAUAUAAAAAUACAAAAAAAAAAAGAAAAACACAAAAGAAACAAGAAAUAAGAAAAUUAAAAAAAAAAAAAAAAAAAAAAAGAAGUACCGGAAGGAGAAAAAAUAAUUUUCAAGGACCCUCGAGAUGCCCUACUCUCUAAAAUGGGGAUAAAAAAAAAACGAAUAAGAAACAUUAUUCCAAAGAACUUCCAUGCCAUAUAAAAUGGGACCU